GAUGUAGUGAAAGGAGUUCUUAUUGACCCGGAAGUUCUUUGCAAAGUGCUCUUUAAAGUCUUUUUGGCCCAAUUCGCAGUUUAUAUGAUGAGCUGUGGGGAGUGAAAGAGAGAGUUGAAGAUGGUGCCGAGUCUGGGCUGGGCAGCUGGAUGAACGGAAAUGCCAUCUUCUGUCUAUGGGAACCCUGUGGGAGCAGCAGAGCUGACGGAGCCCCGGCCCAGCCCUCUGCUAUGGGGUCUUCAGUCACAUCCUGGUGGAGAAAAGGCGAGGCCCACUUCUCUGCUUGACCUCUGAAGCACUUCAAGAAAUCUCCCGAGUUUGCCUACAAGGUGUGACUGAGGAAGUUUCCAGUCCCAGGAACAGAAAGCCCCAUGGUUUCCUGUACUGCUUAGAGCUCAUCGCCUGGAUGGACCAGUGCAAAAGCUUGCCGGCUGACCCUCUUGUUUCUGCUGGAUCACUUCUCCUUUUGGGUCUUUUAGUAGCAUAUAAACAUUUUCUUCAUGUAUCCUUGUACACUUUUGGUCAAGUUUAUUGCUAGGUAUUUUAUCUUUUUUUGUUGUCUCUUAAAUUAAAAAAAAAAAUUUUCCGCUAUAUCUACUAACUAGUUGCUGUUUUAUAUAUAUAUAUAUACACACACACAUAUAUAAAUACAUA